rnacentral:sRNA from 1 species
GCCGGGUGUUGUGGCGGGCACCUGUAAUCCCAGCUACUUGGGAGGCUGAGGCAGGAGACUCGCUUGAGCCCAGGAGUUGGAGGUUGCUGUGAGCUGUGAUGCCAUGGCACUCUACCCAGGGGGACAGCUUGAGGCUCUGUCUCAAAAAAAAAAAAAUUAAGAUCUGAAGUUAAGACCUGCAAUGAACAAGAGCAUUUUCUUUUUUAAGAGACAGAGUCUCACUUUAUUGCCCACAGUAGAGUGCUGUGACGUCACAGCUCACAGCAACCUCCAACUCUUGGG